UGCCAGCAGCCGCGGUAAUACGGAAGGGGUUAGCGUUGUUCGGAAUUACUGGGCGUAAAGCGCACGUAGGCGGAUUGGAAAGUAGGGGGUGAAAUCCCAGGGCUCAACCCUGGAACUGCCUCCUAAACUAUCAGUCUAGAAUCCGUAAGGGGAGUGUGGAAUUCCUAGUGUAGAGGUGAAAUUCGUAGAUAUUAGGAAGAACACCAGUGGCGAAGGCGGCACUCUGGUACGGUAUUGACGCUGAGGCGCGAAAGCGUGGGGAGCAAACAGGAUUAGAUA
rnacentral:rRNA from 1 species